rnacentral:rRNA from 1 species
CUGAUAGGCGUCGACCGGCGCACGGGUGAGUAACGCGUAUCCAACCUGCCCAUCACUUGGGGAUAACCUUGCGAAAGUAAGACUAAUACCCCAAUGACGUCUCUAGAAGACAUCUGAAAGAGAUUAAAGAUUUAUCGGUCAUCGAUGGGGAUGCGUUCCAUUAGGUUGUUUGGCGGGGGUUAAACGGCCCACCAAGCCUUCGAUGGAUAGGGGUUCUGAGAGGAAGGUCCCCCACAUUGGAACUGAGACACGGUCCAAACUCCUACGGGAGGCAGCAGUGAGGAAUAUUGGUCAAUGGACGAGAGUCUGAACCAGCCAAGUAGCGUGCAGGAAGACGGCCCUAUGGGUUGUAAACUGCUUUUAUAAGGGAAUAAAGUGAGUCUCGUGAGACUUUUUGCAUGUACCUUAUGAAUAAGGACCGGCUAAUUCCGUG